AAUAUUGGUCAAUGGAGUCAACUCUGAACCAGCCAAGUCGCGUGAAGGAUGACUUCCCUACGGGAUGUAAACUUCUUUUUUAAGGGCAUAAAGUGAGCCACGUGUGGCUUUUUGCAUGUAACUUACGAAUAAGGAUCGGCUACUUCCGUUCUAGCAGCCGCGGUAAUACGGAGGAUCCGAGCGUCAUCCGGAUUUAUUGGGUUUAAAGGGUGAGCAAGCGGAAUAUUAAGUCGGCGGUGAAAGUUUGCAGCUUAACUGUAAAAUUGCCGUUGAUACUGGUAUUCUUGAGUGUAUAUGAAGUAGGCGGAAUUUGUAGUGUAGCGGUGAAAUGCAUAGAUAUUACAAGGAACUCCGAUUGCGAAGGCAGAUUACUAAAAUACAACUGACGCUUAGGCACGAAGGCGUGGGGAUCAAACA
rnacentral:rRNA from 1 species